GGUGCUAUUACCAGAAAAAUUCAAACAGAACUAUGCAUAAAAAGAUUUUUCACCAUUCAGGAGGUUCUUGGAGUCUCAGAUUAAGAUUUCCUGGUACUGUCAAUCUCUAUCUAUGACACUUCAGCAGAAUGACACUUUUGUGGCUUCAGAGACACUGACACCUACUUUCAUAGCUGCAUAGGACUUUAAAACUCCCCCAAAGUGCUACAAACAAAAAGUACUCUUCAAGUGCUGUCAACCUAAAGGUUAACAGGUUGAAGGGACCCUGGGCUAAGGAAGCACAAGCUGGAGACACCAAAAUGGUCUUCGCAACUCGCCUCUAUAUUUUCUGCCCUGCUCCUAAGCCAGCCUGUUGGCCGACUGGCCCUUCUCCACAGAUGUCAUCUUGAGCCUCUUACAGAGUUUCAGCACUGACAUUAAUGACAAGAUGGAUCACCUACAGGACAACCUUGGAUCCUCAACCAGCCUGAUUAAGCAUUGACACUGCAUUUGUCACCACCAGCUCUGAUGGUUUGGACAUGUAGAAAUGUAUUGCAGGAGAAUAUGCAAACAGCUGCUGUAAGGUGAGCUGAUCGGGACAACUGCCAGCAGGCAGAAGGGAAGGCAUAAUUAAUGGGCACCCUUCAGCAGAGCUCAGAGCAGACCAAACGCCAAUGCAGAAGGCUCAAGAAAGAGGCAAACAGACUAGCCACUGCUCCAGGAUGACUGUGGCUCUUUAUGAGUGAAGAGAAAGGGUGGAGACUGAAGACAGAACUGGGGACAGUGACAGGCUUGGGGAAGAACAGCUGAUUCAGCAGUCCCAAGCAUCUGAACACAAGGUGGACAUUCUCCAGGGUGACAUCGCAAAAUACAUGGGUGAAGACAACCUAGUGGCCGUGACUUGGAGCACCCUUCCUCACAAUGAAGGCAUUCUGGGCCAGCCUGAAAAACAGCAUGGAAAUAAAUCACCUAAGUACAAGGGACCUCGGUGACAACGCUGUGAACAUCUAUGGAUUCCGCAUUCAAGUACUUUGUCACAACUGUCUCCACAACAGUUUGAUGGGUCCACGUGCCAGCAAGAUAGAGAUACUCAUCAGGAAGUUGGCCAUGCAAGUUUGAAAUUUGAGAGAAGAAUCACAAAAAUGCAAAGGCUGUGCUCAAAUAAAAAUGAACUCCUUUGGUAAAGUCCUGGUCUUCAAUUCACUAAUGUUAAGGUGGGAACCAUCCCAUUACUCUGGAAUGUAUGUUCUUAAAUCAAGUGAUCAGAUUUUCUUACAUUGGUAGAGGCAAAGGAAUGGGAAUCAUAUACUAAUGGAUUUUAUACAAAACACAGCAUAAAAAAAUUACCAUAACACUUUUAAGAUUAAAACCAGA
rnacentral:lncRNA from 1 species